rnacentral:RNase_P_RNA from 1 species
AACAAGGUGAGGAAAGUCCGUGCAUUCAAGGACAAGCAGCCGGAGAAACUCCGGACGGUGUGAACCGGUGGAAAGGACCACAGAAAUGAUUAUUGUUAUUAAUAACGAGACUGCCGAUGGAUAGAAAUAUCACAGGCGAUGGUGCAACGGUGAGUUAAGAGCUUCACCAGCGAUAUCGAGAGAUAUCGGCUAGGCAACCCCCUGCAGAAUGCAAGAUUAACUGGAAGAUUAUAAAGGCUGUCCGCCAACUUCCGAAAUAUCGCUAGAGAUUGAGAGUAAUCUCAAUACCAGACAGAUGAUUGUUUAGAAACAGAACACGGCUUAUGAGUUGCUUU